rnacentral:rRNA from 1 species
UACGGGGGGGGCAAGCGUUGUUCGGAAUUACUGGGCGUAAAGGGCUCGUAGGCGGCCAACUAAGUCAGACGUGAAAUCCCUCAGCUUAACCGGGGAACUGCGUCUGAUACUGGAUGGCUGGAGUUUGGGAGAGGGAUGCGGAAUUCCAGGUGUAGCGGUGAAAUGCGUAGAUAUCUGGAGGAACACCGGUGGCGAAGGCGGCAUCCUGGACCAAUACUGACGCUGAGGAGCGAAAGCCAGGGGAGCAAACGGG